rnacentral:rRNA from 1 species
CUACGGGGCGCACCAGUGGGGAAUAUUGGACAAUGGGGGAAACCCUGAUCCAGCAAUGCCGCGUGUGUAAAGAAGGCCUGCGGGUUGUAAAGCACUUUCGGUUGGGAGGACUGCUUCUAGCACUAAUAUUGUUGGAAGUUGACGUUACCUUCAGAAGAAGCACCGGCUAACUCCGUGCCAGGCAGCCGCGGGAAUACGGAGGGUGCAAGCGUUAAUCGGAAUUACUGGGCGUAAAGCGCGCGUAGGCGGCUAGAUCAGUCGGGUGUGAAAGCCCCGGGCUUAACCUGGGAACUGCAUCCGAUACUGUCUAGCUUGAGUACAGGAGAGGAGAGUGGAAUUCCACAUGUAGCGGUGAAAUGCGUAGAUAUGUGGAGGAACACCAAUGGCGAAGGCAGCUCUCUGGCCGGAUACUGACGCUGAGGUGCGAAAGCGUGGGGAGCAAACAGGAUUAGAUACCCUCGUAGUC